CAAAGAAGGAACUGCUUGGCGCCGAGUAUCCAGUCAUCCUCACAUUGUCAGUUUUAUUGGUAUCUUCGAAACUGAUAUUAGUUACUGUUUCGUCUGUGAUUAUGUGAAUGGAGAGAAUUUGACUGAUUUCUUGGAAAUAAAUGGACCAUUAGAGGAAACCCAAGCAAAAACGAUCGGUGCACAACUUGCAUCGGCCAUCAUUUAUAUUCACAAAAAAGGAAUUAUUCACAGAGAUAUAAGCUCAAACAACAUCUUAAUAGAUAAGAAGAAUGAAGCACAAU